UACGUAGGGGGCAAGCGUUGUCCGGAAUCAUUGGGCGUAAAGCGCGUGUAGGCGGCUCGGUAAGUCUGCUGUGAAAGUCCAGGGCUCAACCCUGGGAUGCCGGUGGAUACUGUCGAGCUCGAGUCCGGAAGAGGCGAGUGGAAUUCCUGGUGUAGCGGUGAAAUGCGCAGAUAUCAGGAGGAACACCAAUGGCGAAGGCAGCUCGCUGGGACGUGACUGACACUGAGGCACGAAAGCGUGGGGAGCAAACAGG
rnacentral:rRNA from 1 species